rnacentral:rRNA from 1 species
ACGGGAGGCAGCAGUGGGGAAUAUUGCACAAUGGGGGAAACCCUGAUGCAGCGACGCCGCGUGAGCGAAGAAGUAUUUCGGUAUGUAAAGCUCUAUCAGCAGGGAAGAAAAUGACGGUACCUGACUAAGAAGCCCCGGCUAACUACGUGCCAGCAGCCGCGGUAAUACGUAGGGGGCAAGCGUUAUCCGGAUUUACUGGGUGUAAAGGGAGCGUAGACGGGACAGCAAGUCUGAUGUGAAAGGCGGGGGCUCAACCCCCGGACUGCAUUGGAAACUGCUGACCUGGAGUACCGGAGGGGUAAGCGGAAUUCCUAGUGUAGCGGUGAAAUGCGUAGAUAUUAGGAGGAACACCGGUGGCGAAGGCGGCUUACUGGACGGUAACUGACGUUGAGGCUCGAAAGCGUGGGGAGCAAACAGGAUUAGAUACCCUGGUA